rnacentral:rRNA from 1 species
CCUACGGGUGGCAGCAGUGAGGAAUAUUGGUCAAUGGGCUUACGCCUGAACCAGCCAAGUCGCGUGAGGGAAGACUGCCCUAUGGGUUGUAAACCUCUUUUGUCAGGGAGCAACGCCGGCUACGUGUAGCCUGCCUGAGAGUACCUGCAGACAAAGCAUCGGCUAACUCCGUGCCAGCAGACGCGGUAAUACGAAGGAUUCGAGCGUUAUCCGGAUUCACUGGGUGUAAGGGGAGCGAAGACGGCCAUGCAAGCCAGGGGUGAAAGCCCGGGGCCAAACCCCGGGACUGCCCUUGGAACUGGAGGGCUGGAGUGCGGGAGGGGCAGGCGGAAUUCCUGGUGUAGCGGUGAAAUGCGUAGAUAUUAGGAGGAACACCGGCGGCGAAGGCGGCCUGCUGGACCGCGACUGACGUUGAGGCUCGAAAGCGUGGGGAGCGAACAGGAUUAGAUACCCCUGUAGUC